UACGGAGGAACUUCAGAGGCUGGAAGCACGCUUGAAAAAGAAAGGGGGCCUGGGCUUUGCACCAGCUUCAGGAUUGCGUACUUGUUUCCUCAUCCGUGAAAUGGGAGCAGCUGAAUGUGUCUCCUCGAGUUUUCGAGGGGAACAAACAUGUAUCCUGGAUGAAAAUAAACCAAGUCUAUUGAAACUGCAACCCAAGACAUUCAGAAGAGACAAGGCUACAGUGAAUCUGGAAACUUUGCACGUGUUUGGAUGUAUUGAUUGCCUUAACUGGCAGCCCUUUGCACUGCCAGCUUCCCUCAAUUACAUGAGGAACCACGAGGGGGCAAUGUCUUCCCGAGCAAUAAUAGCUGAGUGGUGGUCUUAGGACCCCGUGGUGGCCCAUGAUGCUAGCACCGUGUCUUUGGCCAUUCUUGCCUGUCAUGGAGCAUACUCCACAGAAGGGCAUGGUCUUCUUGGAGCCUGGCAUGGGCCCAACAAAAAUGACAAUGUAGUCAAUAGUUCCACUCAGACCUCACUUAGGAGCAGGUGGACUAUGUUGUGUGAUAUCAGGAUGCCCGGAGAACCUCUCCUAUCCCCACCCAGGGAAGCAUGGCUUAAUUCCAAAUAAAGAAUCUGAUUUCUUUGUCUUUAAGCCAAGCCAGGACUUUGUCCAUUGUUAAAAGUCAAAAAUCUCUGGGAUAAGAAACAAAAAUAAGUUCCAGGUGGGGCACGGUGGCUCAUGCCUGUAAU
rnacentral:lncRNA from 1 species